rnacentral:sRNA from 1 species
UACUAACAAAACUUGUUUGUGGCGAAUAAAUCAAAGAGGCGAAUGCGUCUAUUAGAUUAGGAAUUUUAGAGCGUUUUCGCUUCUGUGAUUUAUUCGCCUCUUUAGUCUUGUUUCUUGGGCAUUCCGCAGCAAUAUGCAAGGUGGAAUAAUGGAGAUUUUGUAACACUGAACCAUUCAUAACAAUCUUUAUGGACAAAUUAAUAUGUUAUUGUGUAAUCGGUAGAAAAAUAGAGAGAAAAAUUGGAUCAAAGAUGUAAUAGAGUGCAAUUUGGAUCAAAGAUGUAAUAAAUUGUAUCAAAGAUGUAAUAGAGAAAAAUUGGAUCAAAGAUGUGUGACUCUCAAUUAGG